UCAGUGAGUGUUGAAUUCGCGGAGGGCGAUGAGAUAAUGCGGCGACAGUACCCGUCUUGCAACUUCACCGCCAGGAACGCUCGAAGGAUUCAACCUCCUUGCUGUCCACGCCCUGCGAAUACUGGGUUCGUGUGUGAAGGGUUCCGAAGCAAUAAAGAACAUGUUUGUGCAUUAUGAUACACCUGUGCCGGUGACACCGUGCAUCAUGUUCACUGGGAGAAGCAUUCAAGAAGCGGAGCAUAUGGCCCUCUAUGUCGGCGAGUAGCGCCUUCUCAGAACCAUCGACCUUGACGAGGGCUUGGCUGCUAUUCUUGAAGCUAUUGGUUAUUUCAUAUUGUCUACAGUUCAAAGCCGCACCGUACAUCUUGAAGCCUGGAAGAGCGGUGCCUGAAAGUGAGUGACUCUCGUGCAAGAAGCCCCGUGGAACAAUUUUUUCAACAGUUAUGGAAAAGAGCUUGUGAAUGCUUCGAACAUCUAAAACAUUUGCUACUUUAACUGACUUGUAGUGAGCCCCCCCCCCCUCCCCCCCCCCCCCCCGCACACCUCCCAAACAGGCAGCCAUUUCGUCAAGGAAUUGGAAAUUCUUCGGAAGCACGGGUGUGUUCUUUCUUGUUCUUUGGCACUGAACUCUCAUAAGCAUGGGGGAUUACCUUUCUUCUGGCAAUGUAGCCGUCCAUUUGUCAACAUACCUGGCACAGCGCAUUACAUUUAGGAAAUUGUUUUGGGUAUUCUGUGCUUCCAUUUCUAGUCUUUAGUAUGUGCUCUUGUUAAGAGAUAGUCUUCUAUCCGUUUUCCUUUUUCUUUUUUUUUGCUUGCCAGAAAAGCUGUUUUCUUUUGUAAAAGCUGUUUGCUGGCUGUUUUCAUUACCCUUUCGCAUCAACGUGCUAUAUUUGCACUAGCAUUCUUAUUUGGUGUACUGGAUCUGUAGUGGUGCCUUAUGUGGAUUUAAACAUUUAAUAUGCCUUUUCAUCUUAUUUUGUGUCUCAUUGCUGCUGUUUCAAUUAGUUAUGUCAUCAAGGACUCAGUUCUGCUUUGCCUUCCUUCCACAUACUGUGCAUAUUGUUCCACUCUGGGCAACGUUAUAAGGAAUUUAGUUUCACAUGUGUACAUGCACUUGUACUUCGCCAAUAAACAUAACUUUGUCGUCA